rnacentral:rRNA from 1 species
GAUGAACGCUGGCGGCGUGCCUAAUACAUGCAAGUCGAGCGAACAGACGAGGAGCUUGCUCCUCUGACGUUAGCGGCGGACGGGUGAGUAACACGUGGAUAACCUACCUAUAAGACUGGGAUAACUUCGGGAAACCGGAGCUAAUACCGGAUAAUAUAUUGAACCGCAUGGUUCCAUAGUGAAAUACGGUUUUGCUGUCUCUUAUAGAUGUAUCCGCGCCGCAUUAGCUAGUUGGUAAGGUAACGGCUUACCAAGGCAACGAUGCGUAGCCGACCUGAGAGGGUGAUCGGCCACAUUGGAACUGAGACACGGUCCAGACUCCUACGGGAGGCAGCAGUAGGGAAUCUUCCGCAAUGGGCGAAAGCUUGACGGAGCAACGCCGCGUGAGUGAUGAAGGUCUUCGGAUCGUAAAACUCUGUUAUUAGGGAAGAACAAAUGUGUAAGUAACUAUGCACGUCUUGACGGUACCUAAUCAGAAAGCCACGGCUAACUACGUG